UGGGGGAUAUUGCACAAUGGGCGAAAGCCUGAUGCAGCGACGCCGCGUGGGGGAUGAAGGCCUUCGGGUUGUAAACUUCUUUUGCUCUGAACAAGGCAUGCUAAUGGGUGUGUUGAGUGUAGGGGUUGAUUAGCGCCGGCUAACUACGUGCCAGCAGCCGCGGUAAUACGUAGGGCGCGAGCGUUGUCCGGAAUUAUUGGGCGUAAAGGGCUUGUAGGUGGCUGGUUGCGUCUGUCGUGAAAGCCCAUGGCUUAACUGUGGGUUUGCGGUGGGUACGGGCGGGCUUGAGUGCAGUAGGGGAGGCUGGAAUUCCUGGUGUAGCGGUGGAAUGCGCAGAUAUCAGGAGGAAUACCGGUGGCGAAGGCGGGUCUCUGGGCUGUUACUGACACUGAGGAGCGAAAGCAUGGGGAGCGAACAGG
rnacentral:rRNA from 1 species